CGAACGAGGGUCCUUCGGGACUCGAGUGGCGAACGGGUGAGUAACACGUAGGGAACCUGCCCGUGCGACCGGGAGAACUUUCGGAAACGGAAGCUGAUACCGGAUAGGGACAGAGACGGCAUCGACUCUGUGUUAAAGGAGCUGAAAGGCUCCGCGCACGGAUGGACCUGCGGUGCAUUAGCUGGUUGGUGAGGUAACGGCCCACCAAGGCGACGAUGCAUAGCCGGCCUGAGAGGGCGGACGGCCACACUGGGACUGAGACACGGCCCAGACUCCUACGGGAGGCAGCAGUAGGGAAUUUUCGUCAAUGGGCGCAAGCCUGAACGAGCAAUGCCGCGUGAACGAGGAAGGUCUUCGGAUCGUAAAGUUCUGUUGAAGGGGAAAAAGAGCGGAGAGAGGAAAUGGUCUCCGAUUGAUAUUACCCUUCGAGGAAGUCACGGCUAACUACGUGCCAGCAGCCGCGGUAAUACGUAGGUGGCGAGCGUUAUCCGGAAUGAUUGGGCGUAAAGGGUGCGUAGGCGGCCUGCUAAGUCUGGAGUGAAAGGUACCGGCUCAACCGGUACAGGCUCUGGAAACUGGCGGGCUAGAGAGCAGGAGAGGGCGGUGGAACUCCAUGUGUAGCGGUAAAAUGCGUAGAUAUAUGGAAGAACACCAGUGGCGAAGGCGGCCGCCUGGCCUGUUACUGACGCUGAGGCACGAAAGCGUGGGGAGCAAAUAGGAUUAGAUACCCUAGUAGUCCACGCCGUAAACGAUGAGGACCAAGUGUUGGGGAAGACCCAGUGCUGCAGUUAACGCAGUGAGUCCUC
rnacentral:rRNA from 1 species